GAACGCUGCUUUUUCUUGAGAUUGUAUAAAUCAUUCUCCUUUUACUAAAGGUUCCCAUGGAGAGGGGCAUUUGAGCUUUGACCCAUUUUUUUUGCAGCCUCACCCCAGUGAGAU